UUUCAUCCCUGACUGGGGGAACCCCCUGCUGAUUGGCUGCCUUCCCCACUCACCACCCUUCUGGGGAAGGGUAGCCAAUCAGAGCUACUGCAGGCAGAGUUUCUUUCCCCUCCCCUCAGGGGCUGACCCUUUCUUACAGGAGGGGAGAAGGGAGCAUGUAGGACACAGCAGGUUAGGGCAGCUCUGCUUCCUUUCACUCCAGUGAACAAUGGGAUGGCUCCUCUGCUCCGCCCCCAUUUGCCCUCCUGCCACACUGGCUUCACAUCAGGGCCUAGGAGAGAGGGGUGAAGACUCUCAGAAGCUGUAGGAGGAGCAGAGAAAACAUGAAGCCUGAACACGUGCUUUGCCUGUUGCUGAGCUGCUUUCCGCUACCCAAAGCUGCCUGUAAGCCCUUGAAAGCCGACUGCACUCUUGUCAAAUGUAGCCCAUGCCCUGACCAACACACAGCGGUACCUUCGGAGAAUAACUGCUGUGCUACAUGUGCCCCUCCAUGUUCCUGUCCAGAUUACCAGCAAUUGGAAUGCACCAUGCAAGGCUACGAGGAUGGAAACGUCCCUGUGGGGAAAUCUUUCCACAUAAACUUUGCCACUGAACUUUGCACCUGUGUUUCUACAGGGAAUAUCUCCUGCACUUCAGUUUGCCCCACGGUUUCACCUAUGUGCAAGGAGACCGGAAGCCCUCCUGAUGGCUGUCCCCAGUGCGUAUGUCCCAUUGACAAUGACAGAAUCGUAGUUGCUGGCAGCACCAUUCCCAGGGACAGUGAGAUUUGUGUAUGUCCCCCUGAGGGAGGCAAACUAUUCUGCACCUCAACCACACCUCAGCUCACUACAGUCUACCAAUGAAUAGGCUCUGUUCUCCAAGUAAGCUAAGUAUUGCAGGAGGGCAAAGCGUUUUGUUUAGACUAUAAGAGAACCCCCAUUGUAUCUUCGGGCACCCUUAUGGAAAAUCCUAUAGAAUGUACAAGAAAAUAAUUAUCUUGCUAUAGGUGUUUCAAACUCUCCUAUAAAAUGGAAUAGUGAAGUAUAGUCACCCCACCUUGCCGCUCAAAGCGGCAGGAGCU